rnacentral:misc_RNA from 1 species
GUUCAAGCAUUUGGACAAGUUGGACGGAAUUUUCCCUUCAAAAGUAUUGUUUUCAAGAUUUAAAAUUUGUAGCCUGCGCAAACGGCCUAGUUCAGAAGGGAUUUCACCUUGUAUGCUGUUGUUUUGUAGCCGAAUCUUCCUAAGGAAACUAAUGUUUCCUAUGUAAGGAGACAAAUUGCCCACCAAGCCUUUAGAAUGAAGA